UACGAAGGGGGGCUAGCGUUGCUCGGAAUCACUGGGCGUAAAGCGCACGUAGGCGGCUUUCUAAGUCAGGGGUGAAAUCCUGGAGCUCAACUCCAGAACUGCCUUUGAUACUGGAGAGCUCGAGUCCGGAAGAGGUGAGUGGAACUCCGAGUGUAGAGGUGAAAUUCGUAGAUAUUCGGAAGAACACCAGUGGCGAAGGCGGCUCACUGGUCCGGUACUGACGCUGAGGCACGAAAGCGUGGGGAGCAAACAGG
rnacentral:rRNA from 1 species